rnacentral:rRNA from 1 species
ACGAACGCUGGCGGCGUGCUUAACACCUGCAAGUCGCACGGUAAGGCUCCAGCUUGCUGGGGUACACGAGUGGCGAACGGGUGAGUAACACGUGGGUGACCUGCCCUGCACUUCGGGAUAAGCCUGGGAAACUGGGUCUAAUACCGGAUAGGACCGCACCGUGAGGGUGUGGUGGAAAGUUUUUUCGGUGUGGGAUGGGCCCGCGGCCUAUCAGCUUGUUGGUGGGGUAAUGGCCUACCAAGGCGGCGACGGGUAGCCGGCCUGAGAGGGUGGACGGCCACAUUGGGACUGAGACACGGCCCAGACUCCUACGGGAGGCAGCAGUGGGGAAUAUUGCACAAUGGGCGGAAGCCUGAUGCAGCGACGCCGCGUGGGGGAUGACGGCCUUCGGGUUGUAAACUCCUUUCACCAUCGACGAAGGGUUUCUGACGGUAGAUGGAGAAGAAGCACCGGCUAACUACGUG